rnacentral:rRNA from 1 species
GUAUAAGCCAUUUAUACAGUGAAACUGCGAAUGGCUCAUUAAAUCAGUUAUCGUUUAUUUGAUAGUUCCUUUACUACAUGGUAUAACUGUGGUAAUUCUAGAGCUAAUACAUGCUUAAAAUCUCGACCUUUUGGAAGAGAUGUAUUUAUUAGAUAAAAAAUCAACGUCUUCGGACUCCUUGAUGAUUCAUAAUAACUUUUCGAAUCGCAUGGCCUUGUGCUGGCGAUGGUUCAUUCAAAUUUCUGCCCUAUCAACUUUCGAUGGUAGGAUAGUGGCCUACCAUGGUUUCAACGGGUAACGGGGAAUAAGGGUUCGAUUCCGGAGAGGGAGCCUGAGAAACGGCUACCACAUCCAAGGAAGGCAGCAGGCGCGCAAAUUACCCAAUCCUGAUACAGGGAGGUAGUGACAAUAAAUAACGAUACAGGGCCCUUACGGGUCUUGUAAUUGGAAUGAGUACAAUGUAAAUACCUUAACGAGGAACAAUUGGAGGGCAAGUCUGGUGCCAGCAGCCGCGGUAAUUCCAGCUCCAAUAGCGUAUAUUAAAGUUGUUGCAGUUAAAAAGCUCGUAGUUGAACUUUGGGCCUGGUCGGCCGGUCCGGAUCUUUCCGUGUACUGGUUUUAAUUCGACCGGGCCUUUCCUUCUGGCUAGCCCUGGGUCCUUGUGGCCCUUGGUGAACCAGGACUUUUACUUUGAAAAAAUUAGAGUGUUCAAAGCAGGCGUUUCGCUCGAAUAUAUUAGCAUGGAAUAAUAAAAUAGGACGUUUGGUUCUAUUUUGUUGGUUUCUAGGACCAUCGUAAUGAUUAAUAGGGACGGUCGGGGGCAUCAGUAUUCAGUUGUCAGAGGUGAAAUUCUUGGAUUUACUGAAGACUAACUACUGCGAAAGCAUUUGCCAAGGACGUUUUCAUUAAUCAAGAACGAAAGUUAGGGGAUCGAAGAUGAUCAGAUACCGUCGUAGUCUUAACCAUAAACUAUGCCGACUAGGGAUCGGGUGGUGUUUUUUUACUGACCCACUCGGCACCUUACGAGAAAUCAAAGUCUUUGGG